GAUAGUCAUCUGGUCCUUUGCAUAUUGUCUCCGGAUACUAAAUCAGAAGUUAAUGCUUGUGCACCCUUUUCACUUGGUGUGCAAGUUUGGCUCUUCUAUUACAUCU
rfam:Gossypium raimondii Chr06_contig_857, whole genome shotgun sequence.